rnacentral:rRNA from 1 species
AGCAGCCGCGGUAAUUCCAGCUCCAAUAGCGUAUAUUAAAGUUGUUGCAGUUAAAAAGCUCGUAGUUGAAUUUCGGGGUCAGUAGGUUGGUCGUGCCACAGGUAUGAACUGGCCUCACUGAUUCCUCCUUCCUGAUGAACCGUAAUGCCAUUAAUUUGGUGUUGCGGGGAGACUGGACUGUUACUUUGAAAAAAUUGAGUGUUUAAAGCAGGCUAACGCUUGAAUACAUUAGCAUGGAAUAAUGAAAUAGGACGUUCGGUCUUAUUUUGUUGGUUUCUAAGAUUGACGUAAUGAUUAAUAGGGAUAGUUGGGGGCAUUAGUAUUCAAUUGUCAGGGGUGAAAUUCUUGGAUUUAUUGAAGACUAACUACUGCGAAAGCAUUUGCCAAGGAUGUUUUCAUUAAUCAAGAACGAAAGUUAGGGGAUCGAAGACGAUCAGAUACCGUCGUAGUCUUAACCAUAAACUAUGCCGACUAGGGAUCGGAUGAUGUUAAUUUUUANGUACUCAUUCGGCGCCUUACG